rnacentral:rRNA from 1 species
AUUGAACGCUGGCGGCAUGCCUUACACAUGCAAGUCGAACGGUAACAGGUCUUCGGAUGCUGACGAGUGGCGAACGGGUGAGUAAUACAUCGGAACGUGCCUAGUAGUGGGGGAUAACUACUCGAAAGGGUGGCUAAUACCGCAUGAGAUCUACGGAUGAAAGCAGGGGAUCGCAAGACCUUGUGCUACUAGAGCGGCCGAUGGCAGAUUAGGUAGUUGGUGGGAUAAAAGCUUACCAAGCCGACGAUCUGUAGCUGGUCUGAGAGGACGAUCAGCCACACUGGGACUACGACACGGCCCAGACUCCAACGGGAGGCAGCAGUGGGGAAUUUUGGACAAUGGGCGCAAGCCUGAUCCAGCAAUGCCGCGUGCAGGAUGAAGGCCUUCGGGUUGUAAACUGCUUUUGUACGGAACGAAAAGCCCCGGGUUAAUACCCUGGGGUCAUGACGGUACCGUAAGAAUAAGCACCGGCUAACUACGUGCCAGCAGCCGCCGUAA